AGGGGUUCCAGAACCAGUCCCUCACAAACACCAAGGAAUGACUGUAUACUCCUUCAGGUACCAUGAAAAGACACAGCCAUUAACAUAUGUACUCAACUAAACACAGAGCAUUGACUUGAAACCGUACAAGAUCAGAAUGAAGACAAUACUAUAAGGAACUACAGGGAGAAACUAAUAUUGUCAGGGUGGAGAGGAUAAUGGAGAAAACAAAGAAGGAGGCAUUAUACCUAGGACUCCAGGGUGAGAAGGAAACGGGCAAAGAAGCACAUGAACAUGAAACUGCAGGGUCAUCGGUAUUUAUUUGAGGAACUAAAGUCAUGAUCUUCAACAUCCAUAACUUUCUGACACCAAAUAAGCCUCCUGAUGGGGCCACAACAUGUACCAAAAAGGAAGGACAGCAUGCUCAGAGGAAUUUAGUUUUGGAAAACUGCUAUAGUCCUAUACAUUUAAUAGCUGUCUUUAAGCAUGAUUAAAAUAAAGCACCAUAACCAA